GCCAGUGUGGUGUAGUGGUUAGAAUGUUUGACUAUGACUCUGGAGACCAGAGUUCAAAUCCCCAUUCUGCCA